CAGAUGGAGAAAGAAAACGGGGCCUAGACCCAUAAUGAUACGUUAAAAGAAAAAUCUUGCCAUUUGCAACCACACAGCUGAACCUCGAGGGCCUUCAGCUAAAGGAAAUCGGUCAAAGACAAACACCCAUACGUGGCAUCUAAAAACCCCUGCGCAGGCACAGAGAACAGCCCCCGGAAGGGUCCCGCGACCGAAGCUCCACCUCCCUGGAUCCGCUCCAGGGCUCCAUCCCGGCGGAGGCAUUUCCGGGUUCAACCUCCCUAGGCCCGCCCACAGCAUCAGCCGUGCCCAAUCCGGAUCCAAGGGCGACCAGCGUGAUAGGGCAUCUGAUAAAC